AUACGUAGGGGGCAAGCGUUAUCCGGAAUCACUGGGUGUAAAGGGUGCGUAGGCGGUAGGGCAAGUCAGAUGUGAAAGCCCGGGGCUCAACUCCGGGAUUGCAUUUGAAACUGUCUUACUAGAGUGCAGGAGAGGAAAGCGGAAUUCCUAGUGUAGCGGUGAAAUGCGUAGAUAUUAGGAAGAACACCAGUGGCGAAGGCGGCUUUCUGGACUGUAACUGACGCUGAGGCACGAAAGCGUGGGGAGCGAACAGGAUUAGAUACCCUGGUAGUCCACGCCGUAAACGAUGAGUGCUAGGUGUCGGGGCCGUGAGUCCCGGUGCUGAAGUCAACGCAUUAAGCACUCCACCUGGGGAGUACGUUCGCAAGAAUGAA
rnacentral:rRNA from 1 species